rnacentral:rRNA from 1 species
UACGGGGGGGGCGAGCGUUGUUCGGAAUUACUGGGCGUAAAGGGCUCGUAGGUGGCCAACUAAGUCAGACGUGAAAUCCCUCGGCUUAACCGGGGAACUGCGUCUGAUACUGGAUGGCUUGAGUUCGGGAGAGGGAUGCGGAAUUCCAGGUGUAGCGGUGAAAUGCGUAGAUAUCGAGAGGAACACCUGCGGCGAAGGCGGGUUGCUGGGCCGACACUGACGCUGAUGCGCGAAAGCCAGGGGAGCGAACGGG